rnacentral:rRNA from 1 species
GACGAGGGCACGAGCGUUGUCCGGAUUUAUUGGGCGUAAAGAGCUCGUAGGCGGCUUGUCGCGUCGUCUGUGAAAUCCCGCGGCUCAACUGCGGGCUGGCAGUCGAUACGGGCAGGCUGGAGUUCGGUAGGGGAGACUGGAAUUCCUGGUGUAGCGGUGAAAUGCGCAGAUAUCAGGAGGAACACCAACGGCGAAGGGCAGCACUCUGGGCCGGUACUGACGCUGAGGAGCGAAAGCGUGGGGAGCAA